rnacentral:rRNA from 1 species
AGGUAAGCUACUAAGAGCGAAUGGUGGAUGCCUUGACUGGUAAAGGCGAUGAAGGACGUACUAGACUGCGAUAAGCUACGGGGAGCUGUCAAGAAGCUUUGAUCCGUAGAUUUCCGAAUGGGGCAACCCAAUGUAUAGAGAUAUACAUUACCUAUAUAGGAGCGAACGAGGGGAAUUGAAACAUCUUAGUACCCUCAGGAAAAGAAAUCAAUAGAGAUUGCGUCAGUAGCGGCGAGCGAAAGCGCAAGAGGGCAAACCCAGUGCUUGCACUGGGGGUUGUAGGACUGCAAUAUGCAAGAGGUAAGUUUAGCAGAACAUUCUGGAAAGUAUAACCAUAGAGGGUGAUAGUCCCGUAUGCGAAAAACAAACCUUAGCUAGCAGUAUCCUGAGUAGGGCGGGACACGAGGAAUCCUGUCUGAAUCCGGGUCGACCACGAUCCAACCCUAAAUACUAAUACCAGAUCGAUAGUGCACAAGUACCGUGAGGGAAAGGUGAAAAGAACUGAGGUGAUCAGAGUGAAAUAGAACCUGAAACCAUUUGCUUACAAUCAUUCAGAGCCCUAUGUAGCAAUACAGGGUGAUGGACUGCCUUUUGCAUAAUGAGCCUGCGAGUUGUGGUGUCUGGCAAGGUUAAGCAAACGCGAAGCCGUAGCGAAAGCGAGUCUGAAUAGGGCGCUUAGUCAGAUGCUGCAGACCCGAAACGAAGUGAUCUAUCCAUGAGCAAGUUGAAGCUAGUGUAAGAACUAGUGGAGGACUGAACCCAUAGGCGUUGAAAAGCCCCGGGAUGACUUGUGGAUAGGGGUGAAAGGCCAAUCAAACUUCGUGAUAGCUGGUUCUCUCCGAAAUAUAUUUAGGUAUAGCGUUGUGUCGUAAUAUAAGGGGGUAGAGCACUGAAUGGGCUAGGGCAUACACCAAUGUACCAAACCCUAUCAAACUCCGAAUACCUUAUAUGUAAUCACAGCAGUCAGGCGGCGAGUGAUAAAAUCCGUCGUCAAGAGGGAAACAACCCAGACUACCAGCUAAGGUCCCUAAAUCUUACUUAAGUGGAAAACGAUGUGAAGUUACUUAAACAACCAGGAGGUUGGCUUAGAAGCAGCCAUCCUUUAAAGAAAGCGUAAUAGCUCACUGGUCUAGUGAUUUUGCGCGGAAAAUAUAACGGGGCUAAAGU